rnacentral:lncRNA from 10 species
GUAAGGCAACGGAACUAUGCUGAGGGUCCAUGUUAGAUUCUAAUCACUGCUUUUCCUCUGGAGUCCGAGGGUAACAGGAGAGAGGACUGUGUAGCAGCAAACAUGAGAGCCUGUCUGCUGCCUCUGGUAGCUGCGUCUCAGGGAAGUGCAGAGCUGUUCCCCGAUGGAGAGCUCAGGAGUGGUUGGGGUGGCUGCAUUACGGUCCCAGGCCAGUGGGCCGUGUCCAGAGAGGUGCAGUAGAGGUCGUGUUGCUUCCUUGAUGAUUCCCAGUGCGUCCUCCUGGAAGAUCCAGUUGAAGAGCUAGUAUUUACUCAACACUCUUCUCUCUGUGAGAGCGGCCCACACUAGUUGCUCCUAGUCAUUUAUCUUGGCCGGAAUCUUCUCUGUUCUCUGGUUAUCUCCAUGUCUGCCCCCUGCCAACACUGACACAUUAAAAAAAAAAAAAAAAAAAAAAAAAGAUGCCUUGGAACAGUUCCAGAGGAUGAAGUUUUUUUCUCACUAUUUAUGGGAAACGGGGAGCUUCGCAGCCAAGCUCCUCUUCAGCAGCAGCACAGACCCCUGCCUCUUGCCUCAUUUCUCACUUCCACCCUGGAAGUUGCAGAACACGCAUGUGCACUGCACAGGCCUGUGAAGGUGGGAUCAGCACGUCCUGCCAGGCACCAUCUCCAGCGCAGGAUACUGGAGCUCCCUGUUGAGCAGUGCAGGUUAUAUAGAAUAGGUUAGGAGUUAGGGCAUAGGGCUUGGGUUAGGUGUUAGAAUCUACAUGGCUGAUUCUUGCUUACACUGUUGAAUUUACUUUUGAGGACUAACCUGAAAAAUGGUUUCUCAGAUUCCCUUGAAUCACAACUUUACAGAUAUUUUUUGACAUUUUGGCAGUAACAGUUUUUAUAGUGAAGGUAAUAUAAAGAUCAGGAUGAGAUAAUACAGUCACCAAUAAAAAUAUGAAAAUUGUGAGCUUGAGAAAGCUGACUCUGGGGAUUGAGAACAUGCUUUGAAAAUAAGACCAGCUAUUAUACAUUUAGAUGUUAAAACUGAAUGAGAUACAGAAAUCAAUUUGAAUUUUUGGGUGUCAAGUUGAUAUACUUCAAGUGUCUAAUUGUUUUCUAAUUGACUAUAAGAUGAUUUUAUUUUUCAGAGAAAAAUACUGUUGAGAAAACAGAGAAAGAUUUUCUUUUGCUGCUAUUUUUUGCUAUUAGUUUAGAGGAGCUGAAGGUGGCAAAGUGAUAAAAGAGUGCCUCAGGAUUCACACAAAACUUAAUAGAUAUUUGACUCAUAAACCCACGGUGUGGUAAACCUAUUCCCAGGUCAGAAUACAACAGUCUUUGAGCUAACUUUCUAGUGUGUAUUACACAAAGCUAUUUCUUUUCUUAUGCUCUUUCUAGCUGGGAGAGUGCACACAGUAAGAAUUACAGUUCCCACUUUACAGGGAAUUGGGGCUGUAACCACCUUCUGAUAGUUGCUUCUAAUUAUUUUAGUAUGAAAAUGAGUUUUUCAAAACAUAUCAUUAAAAAAAUAUUACAUGUUGUAAAAAGUCAACCUGUACAUAAAUUUAAAGUGUUCAUUCAUUUACUUAGCAAUUAUUUGUUGAGUGCCUAUUGUAUCUCAGGCACUGUUCUGGUCCUGUGAAUACAUCAGAAAAUAUAUCCAACAAAAAUUCUUAUCUUUGUGAAGCUUACAUUGUAAUGGGAGAAGACAG